AAGAAGACGACAACAGCACAUGGUCGGAUAAGAGCAUGAGGAUCAGGAGCUUGUUUCUUUGAAGAGAGCGCAUAUCCUUCAUGGAAAGUCAGUAACGUUACUGUGGAGUACAACCAAGUCGCAAGCAAAAACCUCAAGCAAGAAUUGUUCUCAUCCCUUGCUAAACAUUGUUUUUGAAGAUUUUGAAUGAAAGAAAAGUUUAAAAGCUCUCUUGAGUAUCUAAUAAACAUCACUGAUGUCACUGCUCGGUGGACGGUAGUUCUCCGUGGUCUUGCUAUCCUUCUUGCGGAAGACACUACAGACUUCCUGAAAACAAACAUGGACUGUGAUGGUGACCCACUUCAACUAUCAAUAGGAAUUCUCAGUCUGGUGCCGGAGGACAGACACAUUUCUCCACAUGGUUUACAGCAAUUAUUUGGUAGGGUGUCACAGCCAUGGAUGGACUUAAGAAAGUAUCACAUGCCAUGUGUUUAGUUUUUGGACUGAUCGUUGUUUUAAAUAUGGAGUACCUCUUCACAGCUUAUUUUGAGUUGAUUCACAGGGUUUUUCUUUCCCUGGGGCACAAAUCACUAAAGUCAAAACUGCCAUCACUACAAAACAUACUAAUGUGAAGUAGUGUGUUUUGUGUGAAACAAGUGUUACUGUAGAUCUUUUUGGGGUUUUUAUUUUUCGUCAACCUCGAUACAAGUUCCAGAAAAACUCAACUUUAAUUGCUGCAAAACUUUGAUGUUUUAGUUAAGCUGUAUUUUGCGUGUUUCUGAUAGCAGAAACAAGAUUGUUACUGUACGUCUGUUGAUGCGAUUUGUGAUUUUUUUUAUCAGUCACAUGACAACCUGGAUGCAAAACCAAAACUGCAGUCACUAAAAAAAAAACUAGUUUUGAAUUUGUUUGUCAAGGUGUGUUCAUUGUGUUUGUAAUAACAGAAACAAGACUGUCUUAGGUCUAUUGUUGCAUUUUGGGUAUCCAGAUUGAUGGGUGACUGAACACAAACCCCUUUCUUGUGUGUGUGUGUGUGUGUGUGUGUGUGUGUGUGGGUUUGGGUGUGU